rnacentral:rRNA from 1 species
ACAAAAAUGCACAUAUUGUGAGCUCGAUGAGUAGGGCGGGACACGUGGUAUCCUGUCUGAAUAUGGGGGGACCAUCCUCCAAGGCUAAAUACUCCUGACUGACCGAUAGUGAACCAGUACCGUGAGGGAAAGGCGAAAAGAACCCCGGCGAGGGGAGUGAAAAAGAACCUGAAACCGUGUACGUACAAGCAGUGGGAGCACGCUUAGGCGUGUGACUGCGUACCUUUUGUAUAAUGGGUCAGCGACUUAUAUUCUGUAGCAAGGUUAACCGAAUAGGGGAGCCGAAGGGAAACCGAGUCUUAACUGGGCGUUAAGUUGCAGGGUAUAGACCCGAAACCCGGUGAUCUAGCCAUGGGCAGGUUGAAGGUUGGGUAACACUAACUGGAGGACCGAACCGACUAAUGUUGAAAAAUUAGCGGAUGACUUGUGGCUGGGGGUGAAAGGCCAAUCAAACCGGGAGAUAGCUGGUUCUCCCCGAAAGCUAUUUAGGUAGCGCCUCGUGAAUUCAUCUCCGGGGGUAGAGCACUGUUUCGGCAAGGGGGUCAUCCCGACUUACCAACCCGAUGCAAACUGCGAAUACCGGAGAAUGUUAUCACGGGAGACACACGGCGGGUGCUAACGUCCGUCGUGAAGAGGGAAACAACCCAGACCGCCAGCUAAGGUCCCAAAGUCAUGGUUAAGUGGGAAACGAUGUGGGAAGGCCCAGACAGCCAGGAUGUUGGCUUAGAAGCAGCCAUCAUUUAAAGAAAGCGUAAUAGCUCACUGGUCGAGUCGGCCUGCGCGGAAGAUGUAACGGGGCUAAACCAUGCACCGAAGCUGCGGCAGCGACACUAUGUGUUGUUGGGUAGGGGAGCGUUCUGUAAGCCUGUGAAGGUGUACUGUGAGG